UACGAAGGGGGCUAGCGUUGCUCGGAAUCACUGGGGGUAAAGGGUGCGUAGGCGGGUCUUAAGUCAGGGGUGAAAUCCUGGAGCUCAACUCCAGAACUGCCUUUGAUACUGAGGAUCUUGAGUUCGGGAGAGGUGAGUGGAACUGCGAGUGUAGAGGUGAAAUUCGUAGAUAUUCGCAAGAACACCAGUGGCGAAGGCGGCUCACUGGCCCGAUACUGACGCUGAGGCACGAAAGCGUGGGGAGCAAACAGG
rnacentral:rRNA from 1 species